rnacentral:lncRNA from 1 species
GCUGAACUUUCCAAAUGUCUCAUACGAAUAAAACCAACAAUAGUACGGGAUCAAACACAAAUCCACAUACCCAAAGUUGUCUCCUCCGAAAAAAGGCUUGUCUCCAAGCUCCCCUCCCAAGGUCUUCAGAACUUCGAUGAACUCCUUCUUUGCUGCCUCCUGCUCUUCUCCCUUUGUGGCCCAUGUCUUCCUCGAAGUAUCGUACAUCUGCAAUUUACUUUUAAUAUUGUAUCAAAAAGUUUAUUUGUAAUAUACAAAAUUUAGCACUUUUACCAUCCAUCUCAAGACAACAAUAUCAGCAGCCGAUGGGUGCAAGUCUUACAGAGCCAAAAUAAAGGACUGAAUUUAAGUUUUCUUAGUAGUAUGCAUAUUUUAUGAUAAACUCAAGUUCAUGACUUCUCCAUUUUGAUCAUAAUUCAUUGCUCCUCAUCAUUGGCCUUCACAUUUUUUUCUGAAUUUACAUCAUAGUCUACUCAAGUUUAUGAUAUUUGUAUUAUAGCCCCGUCGAAUCAAAAUCGUGAUUAUGCCACAGCUUGCAUCAACAAUAUGGAUCUUUUUUUUUUUUUGGUAAUAAAAAAAAAGAACCCAGAACAGAAUUCUCAUAAACAUUAAGUUAAUUACUUUAGUUUAAUCUGAAAGUUUCAGCUUCUAUAUAAGUUAAUUACUUUAGUUUGGUUAAGAGACCAAUUAGAUCUGAAAGAGAAACAGAAUUCUCACCUUGAAAUUGAUUAUUUUAAUCUGAAAGUUUCAGCUUCUUUACAAGCUAAUUACUUUAGUUUAGUUAAGAGACCAAUUAGAUCUGAAAGAGAAACAGAAUUCUCAUAAACAUCUAUCAGAAAAUCAACAAGUUACCUUCUUGUCAAUAAAAUCGGCCCAGAACCUCGCUUGAGCUCUUUGGUAAGGAUCGUAGGGAAGCAAUGGAGCCUUGUCCUUCCAGACUUCAUCAAUGUACUGAACAAUGAUGGGUGACUCACAGACUGAUUUGCCAUUAUGGAUAAGAACCGGGAUCUUCUUAUGGACGGGAUUCAUCUGCAGAAGCAGCGGGCUCUUGUUGAACAAGUCCUGUUCUUUGUACUCAUACUUGACGCCUUUCUCUGCCAGAGCAAUCCUGACCCUUAUCCCAAACAUACUGGCCCAGAAAUCCAAUAGAAUCACUUCGUCCGCCAUUGUCACAGAACCUUACUGAGAAUUAAGGGCGAGUGAGUGAAUAAAUGAAACGAUGAAUAUCGAAAAGUCAGGUUUUAUGAGAGUGUGCAUUUUAUAGCGUAGAGAUUUGAACAAUGUUUGAGAUGCCGUGUGUGCUACGAA